GUGAGCAAGUGGGCAUGAAGUUGUCCAAUGGAGGGAUUAAUGGUACCCAGGUUGAAAUUAGCUCUAAAAUCCUGAUUGGAAGUCAAUCUCCCUUACACUGAAUUUGGCUUAGGAAAUAGGGAAAAGAAAAGCUGUUUAGAGAAAAAGCAACAGAAUUUAUCUUUAUGAAAGCAAAUUCUGUAGAUAUUUUGCCAAAAAGGACACAUAGUGAAAAUGGAUUAGUUCAUUUCAGUGGUUUGUGGAAAAUAUAUAUU
rnacentral:lncRNA from 1 species